AGGCGUUCUAGGGACUAGAACGGUUUGGCAGGGGGGUAUGUCACGGGGUGACGAAAGAGAAGCGGAACUAAGUCCCGCCGGAAUUUUGUGUUCCCCUCGGGACGGUGUCGCGGUAACACCGGUUCACUUCCGGGUUGCGCCCGAUGUCACAAUAACAGCGCUAAUGACAGAUUGACAUCUGGUGUGGGGAGUUUGAUGUGGCGAUCUGUGAGAGGAUUAUGGAGGCGGAGUAACCAAAUAAAAAGAGAAGUGCAGAGACCAUGCAGGGGUGAUUCUUUUUGGUCGUUCGUUCUCCCGGCUAUUCUUCCUGGUUGGCUUGCCCCCGUGUGUGGUUCUUCUCUUUAGACGUGUUCCCCUAGGAGAGGUGAAUUCCUGGGACGUUUGGGCUGGCGUGUGGAGGUAUUUGAGGACUAUUGUGGGGUUUCGGCUAUCUGGCUGUGCAACAGAUAUAUCAGCGAUCGAGUGGAGAUAUUCAGGACAGAAAGAGUGUGAGUUCUGGAAAGCAAGUGAAGACUAGACCGCGCCAUCGCUAUCGGAGGGAAGUUAAGAGACCUGAUCUGGGAUUUCGAUCAAUUGUAUACAUCUGGACUGGGAGUGAUAACGUUGUGAAGUGGACGGAGUCAUCGUUGGAUCGCAGGAUCCUCUGGGCCGAAUGCCGCAUGUGAUGUCCCUAUGAAAAGAGGUGGACACAAGAAUUAUUCCUUUCCCGGUCACAACCGAAGCCUCUCCCAGCCGUAAGCCCCACUACUUAUUCAAGAACGCAUACUUGCUGUUGAUUACCUACUCUGCUGUGCAGAUCGCAGGAUCCUCUGGGCCGAAUGCUGCAUGUGAUGUCCCUGUAGAAAGAGGUGGACACACGAAUUAUUCCUUUCCCGGUCUUAACCGAAGCAUCUCCCAGCCGUAAGCCCCACUACUUAUUCAAGAACGCAUACUUGCUGUUGAUUAC